rnacentral:rRNA from 1 species
UACGUAGGGUGCAAGCGUUGUCCGGAAUUAUUGGGCGUAAAGAGCUCGUAGGCGGUCUGUCGCGUCGGCUGUGAAAUCCCGAGGCUCAACCUCGGGUCUGCAGUCGAUACGGGCAAACUAGAGUAUUGCAGGGGAGACUGGAAUUCCUGGUGUAGCGGUGAAAUGCGCAGAUAUCGAGAGGAACACCUGCGGCGAAGGCGGGUUGCUGGGCUGACACUGACGCUGAAGUGCGAAAGCUAGGGGAGCGAACAGG